GUGUGGUUGUCAGAAGGGGC
rnacentral:miRNA from 1 species